rnacentral:rRNA from 1 species
AGCGAACGCUGGCGGCAGGCUUAACACAUGCAAGUCGAGCGGGCACUUCGGUGUCAGCGGCAGACGGGUGAGUAACACGUGGGAACGUACCCUUUGGUUCGGAAUAACGCUGGGAAACUAGCGCUAAUACCGGAUACGCCCUUUUGGGGAAAGGCUUGCUGCCGAAGGAUCGGCCCGCGUCUGAUUAGCUAGUUGGUGGGGGAAUGGCCUAGCAAGGCGACGAUCAGUAGCUGGUCUGAGAGGAUGAUCAGCCACACUGGGACUGAGACACGGCCCAGAAUCCUACGGAAAGGAGCAGUGGGGAAUAUUGGACAAUGGGGGCAGGCCUGAUCCAGCCAUGCCGGGUGAGUGAUGAAGGCCGUAGGGUUGUAAAGCUGUUUUGUCCGGGACGAUAAUGACGGUACCGGAAGAAUAAGCCCCGGCUAACUUCGUG